rnacentral:lncRNA from 1 species
AAGAAAGAAAAAAGAACUAACAACCCCAUUGAAAUAUUUGUCCAUCUUUGUGCCUUUGUCUACUAAACUUUUGUUAAAAUCAAUUCACCAAUUCGUUCGAAAUUUUUACCACGAACUACGGGGUUUUGAUCCCUCAUUUUUAUGUUGGUAUGUAGGCAUAGACCGAAGGUCUUGUCAAACACAAAAAUAUAAUAAACGAA